rnacentral:lncRNA from 1 species
GAGGCUGUGGCGGGGCGGAGGUGCAAAAGCUCAUACUUACUUGGCGGGGGAGAUACCAUGAUCACGAAGGUGGUUUUCUCAGGGCGAGGCUUAUCCGUUAUGUUCCGGGUGUACUGACCCCUGCCAUUUUCCCCCAAUGUGAGGAACUCGACUGCAUAACUUGUGAUAGUAGGGGACUGCGUUCGCGCUUUCCCCUGGUGCUUCUGUGGUGCGAAUAGUAGACAAGUCUCGCUGUACCGUCCAGGCUGGAGAACUGGCGCGAUCUUCCCAUCUCAGGCUCCCGAGUAGGACAACCGCACGCCACCACACCCGGCUAGUUUUUUCUCUUUUUUUUUUUAUUUUCUUUUCUUUCUCUUUCCUUUCUUUUUCUUUUUUCGUAGCAGUUUCACCAUUCUGCUCAGGCUGGGCUCCACCUCCUGGGCUCAAGUGGUCCGCCCAGCCUUCUGAAGUGCUGGGAUUGCAGGUGCGAUCCAUCUUGCCCUGGCAGCUCCUGCUUUUCACCACAGCAUUCACGGGAGUUUGUAGGAUUUCUGUGCUGGGGAAACGUGUACUCAGUUAAUAGAGCCAGGUGGAAGUUGUACUCAGAACUGGUGGUUUUCUUUGGAAUGAAAACCGUGCAUGUUGGGGGCUCUUAGUGUCCCCGUUCGGUUGUAGGCAUAACACCCUUGCUUUGUGUAGGGGGAGGGCUUUGCCCGUGCCCUGGUGCCCCGGCGCAGGGCAUCGAGGCCUGCAGAUCAGAACCGCAGUCUAACCUAUGUCUUGGCGGAAUACCCUGCUAAGUCUCCCUGGAAUGUAAGAUGGGAGGUCUUGUGAGGAGGUUUCUACAAGUAAGAAAACAAAUUUCCAUUCGGUUUUUAUUGACAAAAUUGAAAAUUAUAAUAACUGAGUCCAGCCUCUCAGAUGACAAAUGUCUUUUGCACUGAGAGCUGGGAACCGCCGCUUGCCUCAGCUCCUGCGUGCAGGUGCAGCCCUCGCUUCCCUCCACACUUUCUCCAGCGGGUGUCAGU